GCCGGGGUAGCAAAGCUUGGCCAACAACCUUUCAGGUUUCUAUCGGGAAGGUGUGCGUGCGCUCACUGCGUUCGCGUAGCCCCAUAAAUAAACAAUCUGAGGUUGGCUAGAUGCGCAGGACUUAAGAUCCUGUCUCUUAGUGGGUUCGAGGGUUCAAAUCCCUUCCCCGGCA
rnacentral:tRNA from 1 species